rnacentral:misc_RNA from 1 species
AACGCACAUUGCGCCCCUUGGUAUUCCAUGGGGCAUGCCUGUUCGAGCGUCAUUUGUACCUUCAAGCUCUGCUUGGUGUUGGGUGUUUGUCUGCGCCUCUGCGCGUAGACUCGCCUCAAAACAAUUGGCAGCCGGCGUAUUGAUUUCGGAGCGCAGUACAUCUCGCGCUUUGUGACUCAACCGCGGCGGCGUCCAGAAGUACAUUUUUUACACUCUUGACCUCGGAUCAGGUAGGGAUACCCGCUGAACUUAA